CGGGAGGGCGGGACAGGAACCUGUCUGGACUGGACCGUGGGGAAGGCGUGGCGGGGCCAGGAGCCUGAGAGACGCCUGGGUAAGAGGAGGGCGUGAAUGAAAACGAUAGUGGGCGGGGCCAGACACAAGGGCGGUGGGCAGGGCCAGGAGCCGGAGGGCGGGGCCAGGGUCCGAGGAGGGCGUGGCUGGACUCCGGGCGCGAGUGGAAUCGGGGCGGGGCCGGGCAUCUCCGCGCGCCCUGGAUCGUGGCUCCGGGGCUCCGGCCCCAAUUUCUCGCAAGCUGAGCGCACCCCGGGAGAGGAGUCGCCUCGACCGGGCGCACCUCCUGUGGUCAGUCUCGGGCGCUGGUUCCCCACGCCGGCCCUGUCAGGGCGCAGUCGGUCAGCUUUUCAUUAGCAGAAAACCCCGGUCGGCACGCCGGCGCCGCGCAGACGUCUCGGUUCAGGGUGAGGCCGUCGCCAGCUCCGGGGCGUGGGCAAGACCGCUUGGGGGCAACAGGAGCCUGUUUCUUGUUGAAUGCCGCCGCAGCGUCAGGGAGCGCUGGAACACGUGGUAAGCCCCCCAUAAGGAAGGCGGCGUCCCCCUUGCUCUCUCGGACCGAGCCGCCAGCUCAGGCCAGGGCGUCCUCUUGCUGAGCGGGGUCUCCCUGGCUUCACGCGAAACCCCGUCACUUGUGCUGUUGCGGGAGCGCUGAGAUCCACUCUCUGCUAUCCUCUGGGUCGCCCGCACCCCCGCCACGGGUAGCUCCCAGUAUCAGCCUUUCUUGGGAUACUCAGGGAGCUUGAGGCACCGUCUGGCUGAACCUGCAUGCCUCCCCAUUCCAGGCAGUGGUGGACUCUGCUUGACCUUGGGCUGACUCCAGGCUCCCAUCAGUGAUUAGGGCACUCAAACUCGCCUCACACCGACCAGUGCCCGAUCCAAAUCCAGAUCCCUCUGGACUCAGCCCCCUGCAGGGAGUCCCAGUAAGAGAAUGUUCUAGUUCCUCUCCAAGCCCCAAGAAAGCAGUGUACUCCUGCCUUGAGCCUCCAGCAGCUCUCAUGCCAGACAAGGAAGCACUGCCCCAGUGCCCUGAUGCCUUCACAGAACCUUAGAUCCAACCAGGCACAUUGGCGUCUCUGGCCUACAUGACAGAGCAAGUUUCAUAAUUCAGGGUCCUGAACUGAUGGGGCUUGGCAACCCUGUACCCCAACCUGGCCUGCUCCUGUAAGCAGGGCACACCCAGGAUAACACAAGGAGUGCGAGGGGGAGCUGACACAUGGGUCUAUAGAGAGCCUGACUUAGGAUGUCCACAGGGUGGGCACCAGCCCAGUGUUCAGGUGAUAGGGCACUGAGGCCCUGAAGGUUCUAUUUGGAGGUGGGGAAGGGGGCUGCCUCUUACCUCUGUAUCCACUGCAGGACGCUCCAGGGCCUCCACACUGCUUUUUGCUGAGCCGUGGUUCUACUGAGCUAUCAGAGACCCUUGCAGGGUUACAUUGUUCUCUGGGCCAGCCCGGAUCACUUUCCCUUGGAUCCAUCUGGGCUUGGGGUUUUAGGGCCCCUGGUUCUCCCUGAGUUCUUUUUGUUUCCUGAGUGACACAGAGUGCCUUGACUUAGGAUUUGGCCAGCUGUUUUCCCUGUAGGUCUGAAUCCAAGUCGGGACCUUGGAUGUUCCUAGGCACCCAUAAAGCUGCUUAAGUUGUUCCUCAAAUAUACUGGGAGAUAACUCUGUUCCUAAACAGGUAGGAACUAGCCCCAGACUUGAACUAAAUCCCUGAAGCCCUCUUCUAAACUCCGUAGCCAGACCCCCCUCCUUGCAGACAAACUUUGGUAGAACCUAUCUGGUCUCUAGGAAGCUGGGCCCUGUAAGUUCCCCUAGUAAGUGCUGAAGAAUUAGUACUUCUUAACUUGAAAUCUCAACUUGGGAUGGUUUAGGGCACUCCCUUGUGGGAAUCCCCCUAUAUUGCCCUUGAGGUGUCUCCAGCCUUUGUUUCAGCAGGGUUCCAAGCUGUAAAUGUUUCCGGAAACAUCCCGACUAAAAAGCUAUUUUCAAAGAGAUGCUGUAUCUCCAGGAGCACAUUGGUAUCCUGACAGACAAGCCAGAGCUAUGCAACUUUAAACAGGCAAGGACAGAUGGGGCACUCUAACAAGGCUAGUACUCUCCUGGACACACUCAAGUCUCACAGUGAUUAAAAUGUACUAGGGCUUUUUUUAAAUCAGGUGUGAUAAGACACACACACAGAAAUGGAUGUAAUGAAAGAAUUUGGUUUAUGGACACAAGUCCCUAGAAACAAGAAGCAGGGCAUGCCACACAGGGCCAACUGGGAAGGAUCAGGAGUGGUCAGGGCAGAAAGGAGAUGGCAGAAUAUGGCCCAGGGCAGAAAUUUACCCCUGGUUUCUGGUUGAAGGACAGAUGGUACCCAGAUAUCUUGUUAGAAAAAACAUUUUCUAUGCACAGGCACCCAUAGAGUUCUGUCCAUGUGUUCUACCUUGCAUGGUGGGAGCAAAACCAUUGUAACAGACUCAACUGCUGAAAAUCCAGCAGCUCGGAGGCUGAAGCAGGUGGAUUGCAAGUUCAAACCAGCCUCAGCAAGAACAAGGCACUAAGCAACUCAGUGAAACCCUGUCUCUAAAUAAAAUACAAAAUAGGGCUGGGGAUGUGG
rnacentral:lncRNA from 1 species